rnacentral:rRNA from 1 species
UGCCAGCAGCCGCGGUAACACGGGGGGCGCAAGCGUUAUUCGGAAUUAUUGGGCGUAAAGGGCGCGCAUGCAGGUGGAUGAUUAAGUCAGAUGUGAAAGCCCGGGGCUCAACCUCGGAAUAGCAUUUGAAACUGGUCAUCUAGAGUACUGUAGAGGGGGGUAGAAUUUCAGGUGUAGCGGUGAAAUGCGUAGAGAUCUGAAGGAAUACCAGCGGCGAAGGCGGCCCCCUGGACAGAUACUGACACUCAGAUGCGAAAGCGGGGGGAGCAAACAGGAUUAGAUA